CGAAACCGAUAGCGAACAAGUACCGUGAGGGAAAGUUGAAAAGUACUCUGAAUAGAGAGUUAAAUAGUACGUGAAACCGCUUAGGGGUUAAGCCCGAUGAACCCGAAUAUCUGAUGUGAGAAAUUCAAUACGAUUCAAAUUCAUUUUUUAUAUUGAAUUUGUAUAGUAUGCACUUUUCUCAUAGUAAGACAUUGUAAUCCAUUGAUAUUAUAUCUCAUUAUGAGAUGAUUUAACAUACGGACAAAAUGUUUAUGAUUAUUCUACCAGUGAUAUGUUUACAUGUCAUAUGAAUAAAAUCGUUUUGUUUCCUGUUUAAAUAGUCGAUGGAUUUUUCAUUGAAAUCAUGCUUGCAAUUUAUUUUGCGUUUCGUGUCAUUAAUUUUUAAUUGAUGAUAGCAGAAAUGGCAUGUAUUCGAUUAACAAUGCGAUAGAUUUGGGAUACUUUCAGGACCCGUCUUG
rnacentral:rRNA from 1 species